GACGAACGCUGGCGGCGUGCUUAACACAUGCAAGUCGAACGGAAAGGCCCUGCUUUUGUGGGGUGCUCGAGUGGCGAACGGGUGAGUAACACGUGAGUAACCUGCCCUUGACUUUGGGAGAACUUCAGGAAACUGGGGCUAAUACCGGACAGGAGCUCCUGCUGCAUGGUGGGGAUUGGAAAGUUUCGGCGGUUGUGGAUGGACUCGCGGCUUACCAGCUUGUUGGUGGGGUAGUGGCUUACCAAGGCUUUGACGGGUAGCCGGCCUGGGAGGGUGACCGGGCACCUUGGGACUGCGGUACGGCGCAGACUCCUACGGGAGGCAGUGGUGGGGAAUAUUGCACAGUGGGCGGAAGCCUGAGGCGGCAACGUCGCGUUCGGGAUGACGUCCUUCGGGUUGUAAACAGCUUUCGCCUGAGACGAAGCGUGAGUGACGGUAAUGAGUAAAGAAGCACCGGCUAACUACGUG
rnacentral:rRNA from 1 species